GUAAAGCACCUUAGCUCUGGAACCAGCUGGACCCAUUAAUGUCCCCAGUUGGUCCAGCUUUCUGUAGCCACGCACUUGAAUUGUUGACCACUAGAACAACAGCAAACGGGAUGCAAGCAGCGGCUUGAAAAGUGCUCUCCACACUGGACUUCCUGUCUUGCUGCCCUUGGGGCCCCUCCCACCACUGCCACAUCCAAACCCCAGGCUGACCCAGCACAGUGGCUUAUAUCCAUAAUCCCAGCACUUAGGGAGGCAAAGGUAGAAGGAUUACAUGAGCCCAGGAGAUCGACACCAGCCUGGGCAACAUGGCAAGACCUCAUCUCUACAAAAAAUCAACAACAGCUUUUCUGGUCCUGGUCGCAGAAGCAGGAUGACGAAGGGAACGUCAUUGUUUGUGAAGCAUCACAAUAAGACACACAUGUUGUGCCGCCGCUGUGGCUCUAAGGCCUACCACCUUCAGCAGUUGGCCUGCGGCAAAUGUGGCUACCUGCCAAGCACAAGAGAAAGUAUAACUGGAGUGCCAAGGCUAAAAGAUGAAAUACCACCGGGAGUGGUUGAAUGAGGCACCUAAAAAUUGUAUACCGAAGAUUCAGGCAUGGAUUCCGUGAAGGAGCAACACCUAAACCCAAGAGGGCAGCUGUUGCAGCAUCCAGUUCAUCUUAAGAAUUUCACCGAUUAGUCACGCAAUAAAUGUUCUGGUUUAAAAAAAAAAAUCAACAACAAAAUUAGCCAAAUUGGUGGUAUGCACCUGUGGUCCCAGCUACAUAGGGGAGGCUGAGGCAAGAGGAUUGAGUCCAGGAAGUCGAGGCUAAAGUGAGCUCUGAUGGCUCCACUGCACUCACACUCCAGCCUGGGAGACAGAGCAAGACAAUGUCCUGGCCAGGCGUCGUGGCUCACACCUGUAAUCCAAGCACUUUGGAGGCCAAGGUGGGCGGAUCACCUGAGGUCGGGAGUUCAAGACCAGUGUCACCAACAUGGUGAAACCCCAUCUUAAAAAGAAGACAAUGUCCUUAAAAAAAAAAGAAGGCCAAACCUGGUGGCUCAUACCUGUUAUCCUGGCACUUUGGGAGGCCAAGGUGGGUGGAUCACCUGAGAUUGGGGGUUUGAGAUUGGCCUGACCAACAUGGAGAAACCCUGUCUUUAUUCUAAAAAAAAAAGAGGAUGGAAGGGAAGGGGACAGAAGGGAGGGAGGGAGGGCAGGAAGAAAGGAAGGAAGGAAGAAAGGAAGGAAGGAAGGAAGGAAGGAAGGAAGGAAGGAAGGAAGGAAGGAAGGAAGGAAGGACCUGAGCUAAAGAGACGCAUGGCCCAGUCAUCCUUGAUCCCCGAAAUAGGCAGCUGAGACUAAAAGAAUUGCCCAGCUGAUCCCAGACCAAAUUGCAACCCAGAGAAACAUGAACUAAACAGGUGAUUGUUCUAAACCACUAAAUUUUGUAGUGUUUUUUUAUGUAGCAAAAGCAACUAAUUUGUUCUCUCGGUAUGUGAUGUGGUCUCUCUGUCCCUAGCAAUGUGACCUAAUGAUUAAAAUCUUAAACUCGGUGGCACAACUGGCUUGAGCGAUUGGAAACAAGGUGCAGGACCCCAACGCAGACACUGAGUGGAAUGACGUCUUACGUAAAAAGGGCAUCUUGCCCCCCAAGGAAAGUCUGAAAGAAUUGGAAGAGGAGGCAGACGAGGAGCAGCACAUCGUCCAGCAGUCAGUGGUGACAACAUAUGAAGAUAUGACUUUGGAUCAUGAAGACAAGUUUAAUGAGGAGGAUGAAUAUGCCAUUGAAAUGUACAGACUGGCUGAGUGGAAAGCAGCUAAACUGAAGAAUAAAUUUGGAGAAGUUUUGGAGAUCUCAGGGAAGGAUUAUGUUAAGAAGUAACCAAAGCCGGGGAGGGCUUGUGGAUCAUCUUGCACCUUUACAAACAAGGAAUUCCCCUGUGUGCCCUGAUAAAUCAGCACCUCAGUGGACUUGCCAGCAAGUUUCCUGAUGUGCAGUUUAUCCGAAGCCAUUUCAACAACCUGCAUACCCAAUUAUCCUGAUAGGAAUCUGCCUGCGAUAUUUGUUUACCUGGAAGGUGAUAUCAAGGCUCAGUUUGUCGGUCCUCUGGUGUUUGGUGGCAUGAACCUGACAAGAGAUGAGUUGAAGUGGAAACUGUCUGAAUCUGGAGCAAUUAGGACGGACUUGGAGGAGAACCCUAAGAAGCAAAUUGAAGACGUGUUGCUGUCCUCAGUGCGGCGCUCUGUCCCCACGUGGAGGGACAGCGAUUCCGACGGGGACUGAGGCUGCAGCUGCUAUCACAUGCUGAACUUUCUGUGACAAAUUGUCUGAAUUUUUAAAAAAAGGAAAAAGCAAGAAUGAAUCCUUCUGAUUUUUAGUUUUGUAUAAAUUACAUUUUAAAUAUUUACAUUUUGGAAAUAAUCAUUGCUGGAAAUUCUGUUAAAUAUUUUACAACUUUUAAAAUUAUAGUAUUUCCGCUAAAAAAAAUUAAAACCAGCUCUUGGUAUGGUUAAAAAAAAAAAAAAAAUCUUAAACUCUGCCACUUUUUAGCUGUGUGACCUCCAGUGAGACAGCCCUCUGAGCCUCAAUGUCUCCUGAAAACAGGGAUGCCAGUAAUAGUGCCUAUUACAUAGAGUUGUGAAAAUAAAUGGAAAACAGCUUCUAAGGGGUCAUGGAGGUCAUUUGUGCUAUUAAUGAAACAUGUCCAGCUCUCUGUCUUCUGACCUUGGGGCAGGAUCUCACUUCCUGGCCCCCAUGUGGUUGGGUGGGCCACAUGACUAGCUCCAUCCAGUGACUUGUAUUAAAAGUCACUUCUGGGUCACAGCAUAUGAUUAUCCAUGGUAGACUUCCUGUGGCACAGAAAUUGGCCAUGUUCAAGUUGGUGGAUUCUUUCUCUUUCUUGUUUCUUUCUUUCCUUUCUUUUCCUUCCUUCCUUCCUUCCUUCCUUCCUUCCUUCCUUCCUUCCUUCCUUCCUCCCUCCCUCCCUCCCUCCCUCCCUCCCUCCCUCCCUCUCUCUCUCUUUCUUUCUUCUUUCAACAGGGUCUCACUCUGUCAUAAAACAGUGCACUCACCCAGGCUGGAGUGCACUGGCAAGAUCUCAGCUCACUGUAACUUCUGCCUCCUGGACUCAAGUGAUCCUCCUGCCUCCGCCUCCCAAAUAGCUGGGACUACAGGCAUGCACCACCACACCUGGCUAAUUUGUUUGCAUUUUUAUAGAGCUAGGGUUUCUCCAUGUUUCCCAGACUGUUUUUUUUUUUUUUUUGAGACAGAGUUUCGCUCUUGUUACCCAGGCUGGAGUGCAAUGGCGCGAUCUCGGCUCACUGCAACCUCCGCCUCCUGGGUUCAGGCAAUUCUCCUGCCUCAGCCUCCUGAGUAGCUGGGAUUACAGGCACGCGCCACCAUGCCCAGCUAAUUUUUUAUAUUUUUAGUAAAGAUGGGGUUUCACCUUGUUAACCAGGAUGGUCUCGGAUCUCUUGACCUCGUGAUCCACCCGCCUCGGCCUCCCAAAGUGCUGGGAUUACAGGCGUGAGCCACCGCGCCCGGCCGCCCAGACUGUUCUUAAAUUCCUGGGCUCAGAUGAUGCUUCUGCCUCGGCCUCCCAAAGUCCUGGGAUGACAGGCGUGAGCCGUCAUACUCUGCCAGUGGCUACUUCAUGGUUGUGAUGAGCUGAACACCCCGUAGAUAGUGCUACGGUGAAGGAAAAUUUAACCUUUUGUGAAUGGCCAGUCAUUCAGCAAAUAUCCACUCUUCUCCCUGCCACUGGAGCGGGGGUAUAUUUCCCUGCUCCAUUGAUGGGUUUGACCAUAUGAUUUAGCAGGCCUAACCUUAGCAAGAGCUUGAAAUGUACUUGGCUUUUGUGCUCCCGUGAUGUGCCAUGAGAGCAUUUGCCAGGGAGCUGCUGAUCCCAGAAAAUUGUGGAAUCCCAUGGAAGAGAGAUCUGAAUCCUCCCAAACUGGAGCCAAAGCAGCCAUCCCACAAACCCUUAGAAGAAUGCUUGUUGGUAUAAAUCUCAGUUUUCAGGCUGAGGUGGGGGAUUGCUUGAGCCCAGGAGUUUGAGACCAGCCUGGGCAACAUGGGGAAACCCUGUCUCUAAAAAAGACAUUAAUACAAAAAUAGCUGAUUGGUCUUUGUUGUUCUACGUCCUUCGCUACGGGAGUCCCCGAUGACUUUGUCACAGCCUCCAUUGCCUUGUGAUCUUCAGGUCCUGGGAGAUGCACAGCUAAGAUGCCAGGACACCCUGGAAGCUGGGAUAUGGUGGGUUGGUUACUCUCAGACCAAGAUUCAGCAGACAUGUGAGGCUGUGACUGCACUGAAAGACACUUUCUUUUUUUUGUUACAAAGUCUCACUCUGUUGCCCAAGCUGGAGUGCAGUGGCUCAAUCUCAGUUCACUGCAACUUCUGCCUCCUGGGGUCAAGUGAUUCUCCUGCCUCAGCCUCCCCAGUAGCUAGUACUACAGGCACUAUGCCCGGCUAAGUUUUUUGUAUUUUUUAGUAGAGACGGGAUUUUACUAUAGUUGGCCAGACUGGUCUUAAACUCCUGACCUCGUGAUCCACCCACCUUGGCCUCCCAAAGUGCUGGGAUUACAGCAGGAGCCACCACACCCGGCCCAAAAUUGCGGCUGUCUUGCAAAAAUUCUGUCAAGCAUGAGAUUGUGACUCAUGUACUUAGACCCAACAUACAGGAGGGGUUGACCCUCGUACCUAAAACUUGGACAUGUAUGGAAUUUCUAAUCUAAUUCCUGAACUUUUCUGCAGGUGUGAUUGUGACAUACGCCUUUGUCCAGCACCUGAGUGAUUUCAGUUUCCUGCCUGGUCCCAGACCAAAGGUGAUGUUACUUCUUUAGCCUGCGCCCCGCCAAAAGAGGAUUGUGAUGUGUCACUGGACCCAGCACCUAGAUGAUGUAACUCUCAUCUUUUGCUUGGACCUUGCAUAUUUUGGGUGGAUUGGUGACUCUCAGGUCAAGAUUCAGCACACCUGUGCGGCUGUGAUUUGACUGAGGAAACACGGUCUGUAGAAGAGAUUGAGGCUGUUAUGUGUGGAUUCAUCUACAUUGAGAUUGUGACUUGUGUACUUAGACCCAACAUCCAAAUGAUAUUGAUUCUCAUACCUAGAAUGAAGACAUGUGAAGAAAAAAAAAAAAUAGCCAGGCAUGGUGGCACACGCCUGUAGCCCCAGCUACUAGGAAGGCUGAGCAGGGAGGAUUGAUUGAGCCCAUGAGGUUGAGGCUGCAGUGAGCUGUGAUGGUGCCACUGCAUUCUAGGUUGGGAGACAGGGUAAGACUCUGUCUCAAAGGGGGAAAAAAAAAAACAGGCACGGUGGCUCACGCCUGUAAUCCCAGCAUUUUGGGAGGCUGAGACAGGCGGAUCACGAGGUCAGGAGAUCAAGACCAUCCUGGCUAACAAGGUGAAAACCCAUCUCUACUAAAAAUACAAAAAAUUAGCCUGGCAUGGUGGCAUACACCUGUAAUCCCAGCUACUUGGGAGGCUGAGGCAGGAGAAUCGCUUGAACCCGAGAGGUGGAGAUUGCAGUGAGCUGAGGUUGUGCCACUGCACUCCAGCAUGGGUGACAGAGUGAGACUCCCUCUCAAAAAAAAAGUCUCAAGCCGGGCGCGGUGGCUCAAGCCUGUAAUCCCAGCACUUUGGGAGGCCGAGGUGGAUGGAUCACGAAGUCAAGAGAUCGAGACCAUCCUGGUCAACAUGGUGAAACCCCGUCUCUAUUAAAGAUACAAAAAAUUAGCUGGGCAUGGUGGCGAGUGCCUGUAAUCCCAGCUACUCAGGAGGCUGAGGCAGGAGAAUUGCCUGAACCCAGGAGGCGGAGGUUGCGGUGAGCCGAGAUUGCACCAUUGCACUCCAGCCUGGGUAACAAGAGCGAAACUCCGUCUCAAAAAAAAAAAAAAAGUCUCAGUUUUAGGAUGAUUUGUUACACAGCAUUAUUACAGUGUUUGUUGUUUUAAACCACGGAGAUCAGGGACUUGUUUUGUUACUGUAACAUCAUCUAGUUUGUCUCAGUUGAUGCCAGUGUUUAGCACCUGUCAACUAAUGGCCACUCAGUAAGUGGCAGCUAUUAUGAUGAUUACUGUUUACUCGGGCACACAUUGUCUUUAGAAUCCACAUGGUCUUAAAGGUGCUAGGCAUUGCACUAAGCGCUUUUUUUUUUUUUUUUUGAGAUGAAGUUUGCUCCUUGUUGCCCAGGCUGGAGUGCAAUGGUGCGAUCUCAGCUCACUGCAACCUCUGCUUCCUGGGUUCAAGCGAUUCUCCUGCCUCAGCCUUCCAAGUAGCGGGGAUUACAGACCCACUGUGCAGAAAAUCUUCUCAAGGCAGACACUUACCGAAAAUGGCGGGCAGCCAAGGCAGGCGAGAAGACCAUCUCUGUGGUCCUACAG